GCCGCAAUCCAUCACGCGGAGCGCACCGACUGCGUGCCGGUGAUUAAUGAGCUCCUCGACGCGUCCGAGCCUCCAGGUGCUAUCACGCGUCGCGUGCCGGUGUAAUAUUAGAUUCACAAAUCCGGCAGAGAGGCCGCCGUCGACAUCUGGGUUCUGCCCAGCGACGCUUUAUAUACGCGGGGAUAUGUUCAAACGGAGGCGCGUCCCUUCGCCUUCGAACUCGCCGACGUGCGUGAAGAAUGUUUUCACAGAAAAUCCAGGCGGCUCCUCCGCAGCGAGGCCGCGCCGGCGGGAUCGAGGACCCGGGAUGCAGCGGGGGUUUGUGGCGGUGAAGCUGUCAGAGUCCUGGAGGAACCAGAGGAAAUCAGCAACAGCUGUGGAGCGGAGAAAAGAGCUGUUCUGGGGGUGAGUGGCGCUAAAAGCGUGAGGAGGACAAGAGGAGCUGCUGUUUCAGCGAAGACGCGCUAGUAACGACGACGUGGACGGGAGAGGAGCGGACCACCUGCGUAGCCACGCCCCCAUCAUUACGUAGAUGGGGGCGUGUCCUGGCGUCCACCGGAGCCUGUUUGAUGUCUCAUCAAACAUUCCCGGGUCGUCUGAAGCCAAGACCCCGAGACGCUCCAGCGGAGUAAUUGCAGCUCUUCCCUGCAACCGGAAGCUAAUUCUCCGCAGGCUCACGUGUGCUCGGUGCCGUUAUUGCCACGUUUAAAUAAACGCACCCCGUGGAGGGCGAAAGUGCGGGGAAGGACGACUGAGGGGGGGAAAGAACCCGAGAGGAUUCACUCUGCAGCAUGUUCUUCCAGCACUCGAUUCACAAGAGGUUUCAUCUCCGCUGUCAUGCUUUUACUUUGAAUUACUUUUUUUCCAAAAGUCAGACUGUUCUGGUUUGGAAGAUAUAUUGAAAAAAAAGUUUUUUUAUAACUGGUG